rnacentral:tRNA from 1 species
CGUUGACUUUUAAAAUCGUGAGGGUUCAAGUCCCUCUAUCCCCA